rnacentral:rRNA from 1 species
ACUCAAAGGAAUUGACGGGGGCCCGCACAAGCAGUGGAUUAUGUGGUUUAAUUCGAAGCAACGCGAAGAACCUUACCAGGUCUUGACAUCGUGCGCAUAGCCUAGAGAUAGGUGAAGCCCUUCGGGGCGCAUAGACAGGUGGUGCAUGGUUGUCGUCAGCUCGUGUCGUGAGAUGUUGGGUUAAGUCCCGCAACGAGCGCAACCCUUACUAUUAGUUGCUACGCAAGAGCACUCUAAUGGGACUGCCGUUGACAAAACGGAGGAAGGUGGGGAUGACGUCAAAUCAUCAUGCCCCUUACGACCUGGGCUACACACGUAAUACAAUGGCAACUAACAACGGGAAGCAAAGCGGCGACGCGGAGCCAAUCCCCAAAAGUUGCCCCAGUUCGGAUUGCAGGCUGCAACUCGCCUGCAUGAAGUCGGAAUUGCUAGUAAUCGCGGAUCAGCAUGCCGCGGUGAAUACGUUCCCGGGCCUUGUACACACCGCCCGU